AACAGGAGCACCCUGAGCAUGAGUCAGCAGAAGAUAAGCUGACACCAGUAGGAAGGCCAUGUGUAGAGGAAUAGUUAGUUCAAGAUAAUGAUAUGCUUGGCUAAUGAAAGAAUAGGUUUUCUGUGGCAUCCUUCAUCAGUAGCUUAGCAGUUACUCUGACCCCUCAAAAAACAAAUGUCAAGUCCAGUGAGAUUCAAAGAAAAAAGAGAAAGUGAAGCACCAAAGCAACACUUUCAAAUCAGACUGCCUAAAAGCACAUGAAAUCAGAGAGGCAUUCUGCUGCCAUUACUCACAAGAUGGACACCUAGAUCCCUCAGACUUCCUGGAGAGCCCUACACUUUGGAGUCUUCAUGAAACACACAAAAACCUCAAUGAAAACAUCAGCUUGAUGCACUAUAGUAGACAAAGGCAGGCAAACUAUUAGUAUGCAAAAGCAGCGAAAGAAAAUGCCAGUAAAAUUUUAAUGUAUUUCUGUAAACUAAUGGUUCAGAUUGACUAGGAACAGUGUGUUUCAUUCUGGUCAAUUGCUCUCAGAAGAGAGAGGGAGUUCAGCCAUGGCUGUCAAAAGAAGACUGCAAGCAUGAGUAAUUUGUUAAUAUAAGGAGAUAGAAAAAUACACACAUCUUUUGACUUUCUUGGGCUUUUGUACUUUGACUGCUACAUUAGAUAAAUGAACUAGGAUAACCCUUGCUCAUCCCCUUGCAAGUUCUGGAAAAACAUGUUUCAGUGAAACAGAAAGGCAAUGAAAUUAAAACUGACAAAGUUAUAUACUCUGAACAAUGCACAAUUAAUCUAGGAGUGUCAUUGCCACUAAGUAUUACUGAAGACCUAUGUAAAGCAAAUAAAAAUGAACAGCCAACAAAGUAAAAGGAAUUUUAAGUUGUAUGUCAAAAUAUAGUAUUUAGUGUUUUAAAUAAGCAAUCUACUAUAAAAUAGAUUUUACAAGAGUUCAAGGUGAAACAGAAUUGAAUUUGACAAACCUGUACUUCCGGGAUGAUAAUAACUAGGGGGCAGGUCACAUAAAACAUGUGACAACUUAUUUUAAUAUAUUUUCCAAAUAAAUUUUAUGUAAAUAAAUAUUGAUUUUUAAUAGGUUUGGACAUGUUUUUUAUUGAGUUGUAUGGUAAGAGGGGCAGAGAAAAAUCUCCAUUUUUGAUAAAAAUUACCAUAGUUUACACUGUCAUAGCUCAAAGUACAACUUUCUGUGUUUUACUGAGUUAGUGAAGACCAGGAACUAUACAAUUAGAGCAUAUAGUCUGACAUGGAUAUUGAAAGUACAAGCAAAGUUGGAUGACUUAUGGAAGACAAGAAAAAGGACAGCAGCAUUACAGGAUAGUCACAUGCCACAGGAAAAAAGGUGAUAAAUAUAAAAAGUUAAGCAAAACAAAGAGAAAUUUAGGAACUUGGAUCCUGUUACAAAUUAUAAAUGCCAGGGCAUAAGAUAACAUGAUUAAAUGAUGAAUCCUAAACAGUUAUCUUAAUGAAUUUGAAGAUGUUAUACUAU